AUUUAUAUAGUUUAUCUAAAACAUUAUAUUUUCACUAUAAAAAAAAGAACCCUUUCUUUAUAAAUA
rnacentral:tRNA from 1 species